rnacentral:lncRNA from 1 species
UAACAGUGACUAAUCAUUCGUCACCAGUUAAACCUUCGUUAGCCUACUGUAAUGCAUUUUCAAUUUUAUUUGAUUGCUAUUCUUUUAUCCAUAACGUAUGUAAGCAGUAAAAAAUCUGCUAAAGGUCUUGAUGGAGCAGGCCUUGAAAUGAUGCUGGCAGCCAUAGGUGGUCUUGGCGGAGAUGGAGGUGGAUCAGGGUCAUCAGCAUCAGCCGAGGAAUCUGAGGACUCUGAAAUGGAUA